rnacentral:rRNA from 1 species
GAUGAACGCUGGCGGCGUGCCUAAUACAUGCAAGUCGAGCGAACAGACGAGGUGUUUGCUCCCCUGACGUUAGCGCCGGACGGGUCCGUCACACGUUGAUAACCUACCUAUACGACUGGGCUAAUUUUGCGAAACCCGAUCUACUACCGGAUAAUAUAUUGACCCGCAUGGUUCACUAGUUAAAUACGUUUUUUCUUUCAUUUAUAGAUGGUUCCGGACCGCAUUAGCGAGUUGGUUAGGUAAAGGCUUACCAAGGCAACGAUGCGUAGCCGACCUGAGAGGGUGAUCGGCCACACUGUAACUGAGGAACGGUCCAGACUCCUACGGGAAGACGCAGUAGAGAAUCCUCCGCGAUGGACGAAAGCCUAACGGAGCAACGCCGCGUGAAUGAUGAAGGUCUUCGGAUCGUAAAACUCUGUUAUUAUGAGAGAAGAAAUGUGUAAUUAACUAUGCACGUCUUGACAGUACCGAAUCAGAAAGCCACGGCUAACUACGUG